AAGACUAUAGACCUGCGGAGUACCUGCGGAAGGAUCAUUACCGAGUGAGGGCCCUCUGGGUCCAACCUCCCACCCGUGUUUAUCGUACCUUGUUGCUUCGGCGGGCCCGCCUCACGGCCGCCGGGGGGCACCUGCCCCCGGGCCCGCGCCCGCCGAAGACAUCAUUGAACUCUGUCUGAAGAUUGCAGUCUGAGUAGAUUAGCUAAAUCAGUUAAAACUUUCAGCAACGGAUCUCUAGAU
rnacentral:misc_RNA from 1 species